UACGGAGGGUGCAAGCGUUAUCCGGAUUCACUGGGUUUAAAGGGUGUGUAGGCGGGCUGUUAAGUCAGUGGUGAAAUCUCCGGGCUCAACCCGGAAACUGCCAUUGAUACUAUCAGUCUUGAAUACCGUUGAGGUGGGCGGAAUAUGUCAUGUAGCGGUGAAAUGCAUAGAUAUGACAUAGAACACCAAUUGCGAAGGCAGCUCACUAAACGGUCAUUGACGCUGAGGCACGAAAGCGUGGGAAUCAAACAGG
rnacentral:rRNA from 1 species